rnacentral:rRNA from 1 species
GUUGACCUCGGAUCAGGUAGGACUACCCGCUGAACUUAAGCAUAUCAAUAAGCGGAGGAAAAGAAACCAACAGGGAUUGCCCCAGUAACGGCGAGUGAAGCGGCAACAGCUCAAAUUUGAAAUCUGGCCCCAGGCCCGAGUUGUAAUUUGUAGAGGAUGCUUUUGGCGCGGUGCCUUCCGAGUUCCCUGGAACGGGACGCCAUAGAGGGUGAGAGCCCCGUACGGUUGGACACCAAGCCUUUGUAAAGCUCCUUCGACGAGUCGAGUAGUUUGGGAAUGCUGCUCUAAAUGGGAGGUACAUUUCUUCUAAAGCUAAAUAUUGGCCAGAGACCGAUAGCGCACAAGUAGAGUGAUCGAAAGAUGAAAAGCACUUUGAAAAGAGGGUUAAACAGCACGUGAAAUUGUUAAAAGGGAAGCGCUUGUGACCAGGCUUGCGUCCGGUGAAUCACCCAGCUCUCGCGGCUGGGGCACUUCGCCGGCACAGGCCAGCAUCAGCUUGCCGUCGGGGACAAAAGCUUCAGGAACGUGGCUCCUCUCGGGGAGUGUUAUAGCCUGUUGCAUAAUACCCUUCGGCGGGCUGAGGUACGCGCUCCGCAAGGAUGCUGGCGUAAUGGUCAUCAGCGAC